GUAGCUGUUAGCAGUUGAUGUUAGUCUUCAAUAACACAGACCCCAAAGCAAAUAAAGGGGAGGAAAACAGGUUUAUUCUUAUUCAAAGAGGACGAAUCAUGUGGGGAGGUAGAUGGUAGAUGUUCAUGCUCCCCUGUCCUCAGUGAUUCUCCCCAGUGAUUCUCUUCAGUGAUUCUCUCCACAGAACAAAGAAACAGGAUGUCAUUUAUAACCCCCCACCCUAGCCUGAGGCUGACCAAUUAGAAGUCCUUGCAGUACAACUGGACCAAUGGCCAAAUAACAACCAAAUAGUGAAGACUCCUUUUCCUUACGAGAAGUUGCAGCUGGUUGAGAACUGGGCAAAAUUAAGAGGACAUGCAUCACCUGUGCAUUGUGAGGGGAGUGGAGAAACAGCUGUGGUGGAGCAGAGUCAUCCAGGAAAACGUCCUGGACCCAUGGGUGGUCUUCAACAACAAGGAGGUGACUGGUAUUAAGAAGGAUCCAUGGCCUUGUCAAGAGGAGGUCAGAGUUCACCUAUUAUGAGGACGCCCAGGUUUAUUUCAGAGUUUGGUUGAGGGGCUCUCAAUAUGGUGGUUUUCAGUGUUGGGCUUGCAGUGUCACAUGUUGUGUUAAACAGCACGUGGAUAUCUCCACCACGGUGGAGCGGUUCCAGGAGAGGGGGGAUGAGAUGAUGGCAUAUCAACUCUCUACCUCUGACAUCAUCACCACCCCUCAUGAGCCUUCCUUCCCCAAUGAUUCUCUGCCACCCCCUCCGCCUCCCCUUUUCCCUUGUUAUUCCCCUCCCAGUCCGCCUCCACCUUACCACUCCACCCAGGACCGGGACCAGGCCCCUGACAGCACUCCUCAGGAGUUGAGGGGGAGUUUGUGGAGGAGCAAAAUAAUGUUGCAGUGGCGGGGUUACUUUGCAAACCAAGGGAAAACCAACUUCUCUCUGAGGCUAGCCGGUAUCUGACGUGGAGACUAUGACAUCCGCAGACAGUACCUCCCUCAAUUACCUCACACACGCUGGGAGGAUGGUGUUGAGCGGACUGUCCGAGCUCAACCAGCAGCUAACCAAUUUCAUAAUUAUAGUUCAUCAGACCAGAUAUAUAGUUCCCACUGGGCACAGGUGUCAUUUCAAUGUCUGGUUUUGAUUUACAUUUGGUUGAGUUGUCAACUAAUGUGAAUUCAAUGUGAAAUCCCACCCAAACAUUUACGUAAUUAGAUUUAGGUUAAAAGUUGGGUGAAAAUGUCACGUCCUGACCAGUAUAAGGGGUUAUUGGUUAUUGUAGUUUGGUCAGGACGUGGCAGGGGGUAUUUGUUUUAUGUGGUUCAGGGUUUAUUGGGAUAUGUAUUUAUGUAAGAGGGGUGUUUGUUUUAUGUGUUCCGGGGUGUUUGGGUAAUGUUCUUGUUUUGUAUUUCUAUGGUUUUCUAUGUUGUGUAUUUCUUUGUUGGCCUGGUAUGGCUCUCAAUCAGGAACAGCUGUACAUCGUUGUUUCUGAUUGGGAGUCAUACUUAGGUAGCCCUUUUUUCACCUGUGGUUUGUGGGAAGUUGUUGUUGCAUAGCUGUGUGUAGCCUGCAAUACUGUUCGUUAAGUGUUCUAAAUAAAGUUAAGAGGAGCACUCAA
rnacentral:lncRNA from 1 species